ensembl:lncRNA PPP1R26-AS1 PPP1R26 antisense RNA 1
AAUUCAGCUCCCAGCCUUCCAGAAGCUGCAAUUUUACAACCUCACUACAAGCGUCCCCCAGCAAAGCUGCACCGCCAUUUCCUGUGCUUGGGAACUGAAGGCAAGGGGAGUUCAGCCUACACCCAGGAAUGCACAAGGACAGCUUGGAGCUUAGAAGCAAGUGGAGUUGGUUCAUCUCUUUCACUGGCUCAUAAUUUUGCAACGGCGGUUUCAUCUCUACCCUGACAAUACCUUUUAGUUUUCUUACCCACUGGGGUCGAGACUUAAUUGAAGACCUCAGACGGACAGCAUAACACGGAACCUGAGACCUUGAUUUGCGGGGACAGGCUUAAAGUGUAUUCUGGAGUUGGUGCCCCCACCCCAGGGGCCGGCUCAGAGGGUUCACUUUCCAGCCUAACGGCAGGGGAACCAGAGGCUGCCGACCUGGAUCUCACCUUGAUGGAGGUCUUGUCACCUUCCUCCUUGGCUGGAGAGACAGACUGUGGAUGCUCUCCUGCUGGCCACCCAAAAACAACAAACAGACAAACAAAUAUGAAUGAGGAAAACUUGAAGAGGCCCCACGUGCCAGAGGUGGGACAGCUUGAGAUUUGGUGAGGAUAAUUGCAGUGGCUCAAAACCCAUAAAGAAGUUUAAGUCCAUGAGU